rnacentral:rRNA from 1 species
CCAUGCAUGUCUAAGUAUAAGCAAUUAUACAGCGAAACUGCGAAUGGCUCAUUAAAUCAGUUAUCGUUUAUUUGAUAGUACCAUACUACUUGGAUAACCGUGGUAAUUCUAGAGCUAAUACAUGCUAAAAACCUCGACUUCGGAAGAGGUGUGUUUAUUAGAUUAAAGACCAAUGCCCUCCGGGGCUCACUGGUGAUUCAUAAUAACCUCUCGAAUCGCACGGCCCUGCGCCGGCGAUGGUUCAUUCAAAUUUCUGCCCUAUCAACUUUCGACUUUAGUGUAGUGGACUAAAGUGGUUGCAACGGGUAACGGAGGGUUAGGGCUCGACCCCGGAGAAGGAGCCUGAGAAACGGCUACUACAUCCAAGGAAGGCAGCAGGCGCGCAAAUUACCCAAUCCCGACACGGGGAGGUAGUGACAAUAAAUACUGAUACAGGGCUCUUUCGGGUCUUGUAAUUGGAAUGAGUACAAUUUAAAUCCCUUAACGAGGAACAAUUGGAGGGCAAGUCUGGUGCCAGCAGCCGCGGUAAUUCCAGCUCCAAUAGCGUAUAUUAAAGUUGUUGUGGUUAAAAAGCUCGUAGUUGAACCUGGGCCCCGCGCCCGCCGGUCCGCCUCACCGCGUGCACUGGCGCGGCCGGGGCUUUCACUUGGGGAACCGCAUGCCCUUCGCUGGGCGUGCGCGGAACCAGGACCUUUACUGUGAAAAAAUUAGAGUGUUCAAAGCAGGCCUAUGCUCGAAUACAUUAGCAUGGAAUAAUAGAAUAGGACGCGCGGUUCUAUUUUGUUGGUUAUGGGACCGCCGUAAUGAUUAAUAGGGCCAGUCGGGGGCAUCAGUAUUCAAUAGUCAGAGGUGAAAUUCUUGGAUUUAUUGAAGACUAACUACUGCGAAAGCAUUUGCCAAGGAUGUUUUCAUUAAUCAGGAACGAAAGUUAGGGGAUCGAAGACGAUCAGAUACCGUCGUAGUCUUAACCAUAAACUAUGCCGACUAGGGAUCGGGCGAUGUUACAUUCUGACUCGCUCGGCACCUUACGAGAAAUCAAAGUCUGUGGGUCCU